CCCUAAUGCUAGUAAAGCCCAUUCACCCAGCUGCCCCCUCUUUUCCUGGCCUGCAGCCCCUCUGCCUGCUUCAGAGGAACCAGGCGGGAAGGCUAGGUGUGAAAUCUUGCCCCGCGCACCACGUUGUGCUGCCAGGCUGUUUGUUCGUGUGUGAAGUGUGCUGGGAGGAGGAAAUGUCAGUUACCUACAGCGGGGAGGUUUGGAGUCGAGCGCUGCCAUGGAGCAGGCCACGGUGACAGGACUGCAUGGGAAAUGUGCUGGGCAAGCUGCUGGUGGGAGAUACCAACGCGGGGCUGUCCCCAGGCGCAGCUGCGGUGGUGGCCUGGGACAUGCUGCAGUCACUGCCAGCCUCUGUGGGCGAGCGGCCCGUCUCCCUUCCCUCUGCCCUCACCCCUCCCCUGGCUCUGGCAGCAGGAGGCCGCUGUAGUGGCAGUAACGCUGGCUCCUGGGGCUGGGAAGGCUGGUCCCAGUGGGGUUUGCCUAUCAGUUUCUUUCCUGGCAGAAGAAGGAAGGGGCUCUCAGAGCCCACAGGGGCCUGAGGGGUGAUCUCUAUGUGAGCAAAGCAGGGCUCUGUGCUGUCAGGGAGAGGAGGUGGCUUCUGCUUCUGCCCCACUUUCACAUCCUUGGAGGACGCAGCUGUCUCGCACCUCACGCUUAUGUUGGGGCAUUUUCCUCUGGGCUUUCUGGCUCUCAUGGCCUUUUUCUGGGAGUGUUUCUGUUGGUGUAAAUACGCCUAUCAAGCCUUUUUAGCAGAAAAGACCUUUUAAAUUCCUUGUUCAGUAUCAUACUUUCGCAUAGCUCUAAAUACAAAUGUUAUCAAAUAAUUCUAGUGACUGGUAAUGGCCUAGAAGUAUCUUCUUGGUUUUUGACAUGCCGUUCUGGUUGUGCAGCAAUAACAUUCCCUUGUUGGCAUCAAUAGAGCAGAUAGUUGGAUAACAUUAACAAUUAAUAGACACCAAAGGAGUCACAUUCAUUUUUCCAUGGGAGGGAGGUUGAUAGCUGUGGCACGGGUGCAAAAGCAAAUAGAGAAGAGAAAGAUUCUCAGGAAAGUCACAGGAUAGAGAUGUGACUAUCCAACAGAAAGGAAAAUAACGUUUUUUGUAUUGCAGAUUAGUUUUUGUUGUGUUUUAUUUUAUUAAAAACUAGGCUUGAUAACUAAAAUCCUCUACUCACUGAUCCCCCUGCUAUGUUGAUCUGAAAGGUUCAGCUUAUCCAGAUUUCAGUAAGCCUUUUAUUAGAACCAGGCCAGCUCAGCACUUAACUCACAUUUUUUCAGUUUCUGUGCUGAUUUAGGAUAGCUUUUUUUCUAGAAGGUUAAGAUUUUGCUCAUGACCUGUAAGAGGCCACGUUCAUUAUCUGUCUCCAUAAUCUCAUACUAGAGCUUCUCUAGUUUUCUGAUCUUUGCCUGUAGUAUUCAAAAUUGAAGUUUGCUGUGAAGCUUUAGCCCUGGUGAUUGAUAAGAAAACAAUCUAAAUUUGAACCUAACACCUAAAUGUGACUGUCCUAGGUAGUCCUUGGAGAGAGAGAAAAGAUGUGGAUUGAUCUUCUUCAUCUCAGCAGUGUAAUGCUGAAACCUAGUAAUAAACACAUUGUUAAACUGCUGACAAAUGCAGCUAGUCUAGGAUGGUUUACCAAAUCUUGGAAUUUCAAAAAGAGAUUUAGUGGAAGAUGACUGCUUUUAUUUUUGCAGUCUGUCUUGCUUUAAAUGUCCUAGCUGUACAGCUUCCAUUCUAGAAACUUCUGACUAGUUAUUGGUACUUGUUUAAGCAGAAUCUCUUUGGGGCUGACAUUCUCUUACUUUAUCUGCAUACUGGGUUGCUGUCUCUUCUCAAAAGGUGAAUACUGUUUGUUUUCAUGCUUUCAAAUUGAGGACCUGUGCAAGAUCUGUUACCUGAGUCUCUAUAAGGAGCGCGUUGCUCAGCAUGUUUAAAAAUGCAUGUAUAUUGAUAAGUCAGAGUUACAGUAUAUUUGAUCCUGACAUAAAACCAAAGUGCUUUUCAAACUCUGUAUAUAUAUAUAUAAACUUUACAAACAUAAUGAGAUUAUUUUCAGUAACACUGUAGCAGUUUUUUUAGAGUGGAAUUUGGUAGUCACCUGAAGUCAACGACAUUACAUAACUGUUUUAGGGAGGGAAAGGAAGAACAAUCUAUCCUUUUUAGCCUUCAGGGGAAUUUUGAGUGCGCCAAAUAUAAUUACUCUAAUUGGAAUUUAUCCAGGAAUCUAGAAUUAACCACCCUUCUCUCACGACAAAUAUAACAGGAUCAUGUGAUGAUCAUGAGUUUCAGUUUAAAAGUACUGAAAGACUGAAUGAAAAGCCAUUAUUUAAUGCGUGCUGUUGUUUAUCUUUCUCAGUUCUCUUUCACAGCCAUUGUGUCGCUGUCUUCUGCCCACCCUGUGCACUAUUUUAGAGCUAAACACAACAAAAGCUUUUUUUGACUGUGACUUGCACGUUAAGCUGGGGGAUUUUGGGAACUCUGUGACUGCUCUGUGUUAAUGGAGUUCAUAUGUAGCAGCAUUAAAAUUUAUAUAUGGACCAUAACACUAGUGAAACCUUAUUUUUAAACAAAAUAACUUAAAAUCUAGAAAUGUACAAUAUGUAAUUCAGUUAUCCGUAUUUCUGUCUCCUCCCCUCUCCCAUAGAAAAGCCUGCAGUAAUGCUCUAUUUUAUCUACAGAUAUCCGUAUGAAAAAUAUCAGUGUUAGUAAUGCGUUAUAUGGAAAAUCUAGUUUGUACAGUUUUAACAGCUGAAGUAUAUAUGAUCUAGAAAAGAUGUGGUCAUAACACAAUCAAAUCUCUAUAUGUACAUAACAGUCUCUCCCUAAUUCCUCCAAAUAAUUACAUUCUGCAACUACAGUCCAUAUUCUGUGUACAUUUUGUUUUAUAGAUAGAGGGUAACCUGUUUACCUGAAUGACAUUGACAUUUUCAUCUCUCCCAUGCAAACUUCUUUGUCUGCAAUGCCUGCAGUGUAGGUUUUACUAGGCAGACGUUGCUGUGCAGCACAGCCUUUUAAGGGAGAACUAUCUGUUCUGGUUUUGUGCUCUUUACUAAACACGAUGUUGUAGAUGGAACCACAGUAAUUAACUGGAAUUCUUUUUUCAAAGUUCGAUGAGCAAAAUUCUUAUGUUUCUCCUGCAUAUUGCUGUUGCCGCUCAAAGGUAAUGCUUUUGGUAUAUAAUAACUACCAUAAUCUGUGGGAACCUUGUGAGCAUAGCUUUGUUUUGUCCACCUUUAAUAAGUGCACAGGCAGGAGAAAAGAUGCCCACCCCUCUCUGUGGAUUGGUGCUCUGGCUCUUGAGGAGUGGUUUGCUCUCGCUUGUCAUUUAGCCUGUACUGAACAGGUCAACCAACACUGGAUGAGAUUAUCUGAGAAGUGUACUGGGCUGCAAAAUAGAAGGAUAAAGUUCUUUAAAAGGCGUCAUUGCAUGAAAAAGCUGACAGUGCACACAACUACCAUACUUACAAUCAUUGAUUUGCUUCCUGUUUGAGUGCCAUAAAACAUUUUUAAGAAAUGGAGGAAGAUAAAGGGCAGAGUGUUAAAACUACCAGUGCAGUGGGUGACCUGAGGAAAAGUUGGCAGACCUGGGCAGAGGAUCAGAUUGAGUAUCAGAGAAAGAAUCCAUUCAGCAACGAUGAGAGGCUUGCAUCUAAACCUGUGCAUACCCACAGAGGAGAUCCUGCCUAUGGGAGACCCCCUGAAGGGUCUAAAACAGAGCAGAGAGGGAAAGAUGCCCACUCACAUGUGGGGAAGGAAGUAGAAGAGCUGUGCUUGAUCAUAAGAAGCACUGGAGAGAAGGGAGAAGAUGGACAUGUGAGUGUGACAUUCCGGCAGCUGUUUGAAACAUACGUGACUAUUUCCAAUAAAGUAGUGGGGAUCUUGCUGAGAGCCAGAAAACACGGUCUGGUUCAUUUUGAAGGUGAAAUGCUUUGGCAAGGAAAAGAUGAUGAUGUGAUCAUCACUUUACUAGAAUAAGGCUUUGUCAUCUGAUAAAUUCUGCUGCAUGUUUCCAUUUGGAAAGAGCAUAUCAUGAUACCAUCUUGAAAGAGGUUUUCAUUACAGAAUUUCAACUCUGCUAAUUAAUGGAACAUGAGCAGAAGAGAAAAUUGUGAAAAGGUAAUCAGAAGAAGAGGAAAUAGAGGAGAAAAGAAGGUGCCAAAGCAAGCAUAUCUGAGGGACAGAGAAGCCAGAUAUAGCAUGGAAAGGGAAACAAAGGAUGGGUUUUAUCAUCACAUAAUUUUACCAUGUUGGAAACUGGGAGAUACGUGCUACACCAGAGACUGCGUUUAACACAUUUAAAAUGCUGUGUUUUUCAAAAAAAUCUAUUUCUUGCCAAAACGACAUGAGCACGCCCCAGCGGAUUUCAGUUCCCACUAGAUAAAGCCUGGGCACACUUUGUAUAAAGAUUUUAAAAUCAAUCUCAAGAUUGUUACGAUAAAGUUACAAGAUGUGGUUCGUUUAAUUUUAUCUUAAUUAUAGAUCCAGGUGAUUCUGCUGUAACACUAGUUCAUAACUUGCAGGAAGUAGUAUCAGGUAGUUCACGUAUCACUAACAGGACAACAGCCUCAGGAAAAAUAAUACUUUAUUCUCAGAAAGCACAUAGGAGGCUCAGGCUGCACACUGCCUCAACUAAGAUGCAAGUGCAGCUCCUGCAGACCUACAAGUUCUUAUUUAAAACUGGCUCAGAGAGUUAAACCACGGGAAUCUGGGCUUAAACUGCCAUGGGCAUAGUCAAUGAUGUUAGGUACUUAUAGAGUCCCUGCUGCACUUGCUCCAGCUACUGCUGGGUGCCUCUACAAUAGCUGUAAAAAUAACUGGGGUCCAUGUGCAAGAGCUGUAAACAUACCUCUGAUUAGUAUCAAAACACAGAAAAGCAGAGUAAGUCCUAAUGAAAUGGUCAUACCAACUUUGUAAGCCACUGUUAAAAGCUUGCCUAUCAUAUUUUGGGUAAGUCCAAGAAUUAUUACCAGAAGGAUGAUUUAUUUAGGGAUAGAUUUUUUAAAAAAUCAUCACAGGGCCAAAUUUCCUAUCGCCAGCUAUAGCUGAGGAUUCUGUAAAGAGUAAAUGCUAUCUUUCUGUCAUGCAUAUCCAUACAACUAUCAUAAAUACCAGAAAGUUGCCAAAUUGGGUCAAUUUACAGGUUGACAAAUCUGCUGCUUUCAGCAGUAGCUGUUAUUCCAAAAGAAGUCUAAAGGAUAAGUGCAAUUGAUCAGUCUGUCCACUGGGACACUCAAAAAUAAAAAUUACUCCCGAAGCCUGUACAGUCAGGUAUACAUCAUAUCUAGUGGACAAGACUGGACUUAGCUCCUAGCUUGCAAGCUAGGGAAAAUUCUGCUUUGUCAUCUGCAAUGUAGAAAAGACAUUGGCAACUGGAGAUAAAUCAGUUUUUAAAGCUUUAUGCAGUGGUCCACUAUUAAAGUAAAUGGAACAGCUAAUCUAAUACAUCAUUUUCAUGAGAAGUGUUAAGACGUGAGUUUGUGUUAGUACUACAGAUUAUUUGUAGUAGUAAGUAAACUUUGACCUUCUAAAAGGUGUUAUUGCCACAUCAAGACACUUUCAGCUCUUCAAAUCUCUCCUAAAUUUAUAGGAAGCUUAUCAGCUCCGUCAGUAGUCGUUCCUCUUCUUUCAGUUGAAGCUUGUCUAUUCUACAUCAGUUUUAGACUCUAUGAAUUGUACGGGAAUUAUCUGAAUUUUGUCUUGUGAAACACUGAAAAUGCUUUCAGCACUUCAAUAAAUAUUGCACAUCAGUUUGACAUGAAGCAAGUGAUUUUUUUUAUGCAGGGUUUUACUGUUUCCUACUAUGACAAAUUUCAAAUACGAUUUUCAUCAGUUUGUGCUCCCAUUUUUUGCUGUCAUUUGUUACUCAUGCUUAAGUAGACUUCUGAAUAGCCUGAAGAUCUGUUACCAACUUAAUCACACUGAAAAUGCUAUUCUUAGUUAAAUGCCUGAAGUUGCUUUUUUUUUUUCUUUUUUUUUAAACAUUUAACAGCAUUUCAUGUGUUAUCUUUUUCAUUCUUUCAAAAAGGGGCAAGCGGUACCUCACCAUAAAAGCAGUAUUCUCUGGACUUGCAUUAGGUUGGUACUUUAUGUAAAACAAUUGGGCAAAAGAGUACAAAUAAACCUUGAACAUGUAGUCAAAAAAGCUGCUUUUCUCAGGACUGCUAAUACGGGAUCAAAGAACAACAGACCCAUGGGUAGUGGCUAAGCAACUUUUCUCUGCUUCUCAGGCUCUUACACGCAUCCAAGAAUAAAAACUGCUGAGAGGCAGUAAGUUUACUCUCCAAGAAAAAGUCUUUUAACUACCUUUGUCCACUGGAAUGCUCCAGAAAAGAUGUUGGAAGUUUUAAAAUCGUAUUAUAAGGCUGCUGUAAUAGAGGGCAGACAUCAUUAAUGGAUUCUGCUGACUGCC